rnacentral:rRNA from 1 species
CUGAGAGGGUGACCGGCCACAUUGGGACUGAGACACGGCCCAGACUCCUACGGGAGGCAGCAGUGGGGAAUAUUGCCCAAUGGGGGAAACCCUGAUGCAGCGACGCCCCGUGAGCGAUGAAGUAUUUCGGUAUGUAAAGCUCAAUCAGCAGGGAAGAAAAUGACGGUACCUGACUAAGAAGCCCCGGCUAACUACGUGCCAGCAGCCGC